UGCCUGCCUGAGGAGUUGCAGUGCAGAGUAUCAUUGCAGCGCCUUUUCAGAGAGUAACGUGCCGCACUGGUUCAGGGGCUUUGUCUUUAUUCACAACACAUUCAUGUGGCUCAGCAUGCGGGGAGCUGCACUGUUGCCUGCCAGCCUGUCCUCUUUGACUGCCGAAUGAACCAAAGGAUAACUCUCCAUUCGUGAGAGAGAGAGAGACAGAAGAAGAAAGACCACGCAAAAAGAAGGGGGAGAGAGGGGGGUGGAAAGGGAUGUUCUCCGGCACACUCCUACGUUAGGUCUCUGUGCAAAGGCAGAGGCUGUGGGAGCAGCAUCAAGCAAGCCUUCGGGCAGUGAUUCUAACUAUUGCCCAUGAACACCGUGGCCAGGAUGACUUUGACGAGGCAAUUUAUUACUUAUGCAUAGAACACUAGCUCUGCUAGUGCUCCCAGUGAAACUGGGAGCGCAAACACUCCCUUGUUUUCUAAUUUAGAGACUUGCAUCUUUUCGACACUCAACACUGUCAAGACACUCUGCUACUACAGGGAAAUCAUCUUUUGGGAACUUAUCUAAGAAGAACUUCUUAUGAUAUAUGAAGUGUAGGGGUAAGACUUGCAAUAAUUUCCCUUAAGGUAAGGACGUUUUCAUUUUUUCUGUUUCCAUUUGUUCAGAGCUACCUAUAAAGCACAUUAAAAGGACUUCUUCUGAGAAAGUUGACCUAUUCAAAAUUUGAAU